GAUGAACGCUAGCGACAGGCUUAACACAUGCAAGUCGAGGGGCAGCGGGAUUGAAGCUUGCUUCAAUUGCCGGCGACCGGCGCACGGGUGAGUAACACGUAUGCAACCUGCCCGCCACAGGGGAAUAACCGGAAGAAAUUCCGACUAAUUCCGCGUAACACCGAAGUGAGGCAUCUCGUUUCGGUCAAAGGGGCAAUCCGGUGGCGGAUGGGCAUGCGGCGCAUUAGCUAGUUGGUGAGAUAACAGCCCACCAAGGCGACGAUCAGUAGCCGACCUGAGAGGGUGAUCGGCCACAUUGGGACUGAGACACGGCCCAG
rnacentral:rRNA from 1 species